UACGUAGGGUGCGAGCAUUGUCCGGAUUUAUUGGGCGUAAAGAGCGUGUAGGCGGUCAGAUAGGUCCGUUGUGAAAACUCGAGGCUCAACCUCGAGACGCCGAUGGAAACCAUCUGACUAGAGUCCGGAAGAGGAGAGUGGAAUUCCUGGUGUAGCGGUGAAAUGCGCAGAUAUCAGGAAGAACACCCGUGGCUAAGGCGGCUCUCUAGUACGGUACUGACGCUGAGACGCGAAAGCGUGGGGAGCGAACAGG
rnacentral:rRNA from 1 species